GACUGUCAAACUUACCUUAGACGCCAACUGAUUAUUUGAUUUCAAUUGGAUCUACUUAUGGAUUUGGAUUUGACUGCUGAGCUCAAGAUCAAAGUCUAUUUGAGUCUAAUCAAAGAUAUGGACUAGACCAACUACAACUAUUGUAUUGGCUCUAGAAAAAUUCUGAUUUAAUCUAAUUUCUCUUCUUAAUUCAUUUGAUCUUUG
rnacentral:lncRNA from 1 species